rnacentral:rRNA from 1 species
CAUGCCGCGUGAGUGAAGAAGGCCUUCGGGUUGUAAAGCUCUUUCGGCUGGGAAGAAAUCGCACAGGCUAAUACUCUGUGUGGAUGACGGUACCAGCACAAGAAGCACCGGCUAACUACGUGCCAGCAGCCGCGGUAAUACGUAGGGUGCGAGCGUUAAUCGGAAUUACUGGGCGUAAAGCGUGCGCAGGCGGUUGUGCAAGACAGAUGUGAAAUCCCCGGGCUCAACCUGGGAACUGCAUUUGUGACUGCACGACUAGAGUACGGCAGAGGGGGGUAGAAUUCCACGUGUAGCAGUGAAAUGCGUAGAGAUGUGGAGGAAUACCGAUGGCGAAGGCAGCCCCCUGGGCCGAUACUGACGCUCAUGCACGAAAGCGUGGGGAGCAAACAGGAUUAGAUACCCUGGUAGUCCACGCCCUAAACGAUGUCAACUAGUUGUUGGUAGGGUUAAACCUAUUAGUAACGUAGCUAACGCGUGAAGUUGACCGCCUGGGGAGUACGGUCGCAAGAUUAAAACUCAAAGAAUUUGACGGGG